rnacentral:misc_RNA from 1 species
GUAGGUGAACCUGCGGAAGGAUCAUUAACACGUAUCCACGUAUCAACCAAUGCGAACUUGUUUUCAAUCUCCCUCGAGCCUACAUGAAUUGACACUGGGCAGUGAUUAGAGAGGAGCUCCUCGGGGCUCAUCACUGACUAGCAACUGAGGUCGCUUCGGCGGACUCGACAAUUGUAGUAGGAUUGAGACUAAUUUCUAACGUGAGCAUAGCCACUCCCUGGGCCAGCUUCGUUAGGAUACUAACCUAUUUCACCCCCUUUUUGCUAGUUGACUUUAUAUAUGUUAAUAGACCUGCGUGCUUGCAUGCUUCGCCUAUUACACGUUUAUUUAUUUGAACGUUAUGAAACAACUUUUAGCAAUGGAUAUCUUGGUUCUC